GAACUGCCUGAAACACAGACAUUAGGCCAAGAGAGCAGAAUUUUCUUCGUUCAAGAAAAGUGCCAACAUGACGUCCUGAUUGUGUGCAGCGUCUGCCUCGCUCCAUGUGCGGUGACAUUCACAUGUGGGGAACAUUAAUGGAGGCUAAUGGUCAGUACCAAUCAGGCCAUGCAUUCUGCUGGCGCAACCAAGAUGUGGAAAAAUGGCAACCAGUUCUGAACAUGAAACUUUGUGUAGCAGUGCUGUUUCCGGGCUACAACCUGACAGUUCACCUCAGAAUGCUUUCAGUGAUGGAGGUACAAGUUGUCAGUGAGCAGACGUUUUCUCACACUCAGCGCAUACACCUGUGGCCUGCCAUUGGCAAAGUAAACAAGGCAGCUCAGGACUUUUUCUUUAAGGAGAUGCACUCAUUAAACUCAAGUUUUUCAGGUCUAUCAAGAUGACCAAAAGCUUCUACUUCUAGGUGCCCAGAAGCGAAAGGAUGAAGCUUGCUGGGGAUGGGGCAAGCAGACUCGCCUGGUUAUAGCGCCAUGUACGGUGCAUAUUCCUUGCUGGAUGUGGAGAGAAACAACAUAUUGCACUUUGAGGUCACGCAGGACACAACUUGCUGUACUUCACUGCAAUGAGAACAGUCAGCGUGACCAAGCCUGUACAAAGGAUGGCACUUCUCGAUGGCAUGUGAGGUACCCCCAAAACUACUGGGGGUGAGCUUGUGGCCUGUCCCAUAACAGAGCCAGCCAAACAUGGCUACAUCAAAAAAGCUCUUGGAUGCAGUAGUCACAGCAGCUGUCUGUGCACCUCCUGGCAAGAAAGGAAAGGCCACUCCUGAGACACGAUCACGGCUUAGCAGUUUAUUUUGUUAUGUGGUUAAUGAUGUAGAGGUAACUAAGCGAGUGAGUAGGUAGCAACAUCACCAUAGUGAGUGAGUGCAGGAAUAAGCCAGUUAUUUCAAUGAACAAUUGUAUUAGGCCA